UUGGAGGGCAAGUCUGGUGCCAGCAGCCGCGGUAAUUCCAGCUCCAAUAGCGUAUAUUAAAGUUGUUGCAGUUAAAAAGCUCGUAGUUGAAUUUCGGGGUUAGUAGGUUGGCCAUGCCUCUGGUAUGUACUGGUCUCACUGAUUCCUCCUUCCUGAUGAACCUUAAUGCCAUUAAUUUGGUGUUUUGGGGAAUUUGGACUGUUACUUUGAAAAAAUUAGAGUGUUUAAAGCAAGCUAACGCUUGAAUACAUUAGCAUGGAAUAAUGAAAUAGGACGUUCGAUCCUAUUUUGUUGGUUUCUAGGAUUGACGUAAUGAUUAAUAGGGAUAGUUGGGGGCAUUAGUAUUCAAUUGUCAGAGGUGAAAUUCUUGGAUUUAUUGAAGACUAACUACUGCGAAAGCAUUUGCCAAGGAUGUUUUCAUUAAUCAAGAACGAAAGUUAGGGGAUCGAAGACGAUCAGAUACCGUCGUAGUCUUAACCAUAAACUAUGCCGACUAGGGAUCGGAUGAUGUUAAUUUUUUAAUGACUCAUUCGGCGCCUUACGGGAAAC
rnacentral:rRNA from 1 species